UCAAAACAGCGGCCUUCGGGCCUCGCUGCACCCUUGUCUUUUGCGCACCGUAUCGUUUCCUCGGCGGGCUUGCCUGCCGGUUGGACAUCAUAAAACCUUUUUGUAGUUGCAAUCAGCGUCAGAAAAACAAUAAUUAUUA
rnacentral:misc_RNA from 1 species